UUAAUGGGGACUUUAUGGGGUCAAUGGGGUCAGUGGGGACUUUUUGGGUUCAAUGGGGUCAGUGGGGACUUUAUGGGGACAUUAUAGGGUCAAUGGCGACAUUUAUGGGGUCAAUGGGGUCAGUGGGGACAUUAUGGGGUCAGUGGGGUCGUUACGGGGUCAGUGGGGACAUUAUGGGGUCAGUAGGGUCAAUGGGGACUUUAUAGGGUCAAAUGGGAUAUUGGCGACAUUAUGGGAUCAAUGGGGACAUUAUAGGGUCAGCGGGGACCUUAUAGGGUCAAAUGGGAUAUUGGGGAUAUUAUGGGGUCAGCAGGGACGUUAUGGGGUCAAUGGGGACAUGAUGGGGUCAGUGGGGACAUGAUGGGGUCAGCGGACAGAUCAUGGGGUCAAUGGGGUCAACGGGAAUAUUAUGGGGUCAAUAGGGACAUUGGGGACGCUAUGGGGUCAAUGGGGACAUUAUAGGGUCAAUGGGGACAUUGGGGACAUUAUGGGGCCAUUUGGGGCCACUCUGGGGGCAUUUGGGGCCGUUUGGGGACAUUUGGGGACACAACGGGUGACAAAGAGGGGACAGAGAGCUCCAAGGAACCCCAAAAUCCCAACCCAGGGGACACCCAUGGGUGACAGUGGGGUGACAAUGGGUGACAAUGGGUGACAACAGGUGACAAUGAAGGGACAACGGGUGACACUGAGGGGACGCUGGGUGACAGUGGGUGACAACGGGGGGACAACGGGUGACAAUGAAGGGACAAUGGGUGACACUGAAGGGACAAUGGGUGACAGUGGGUGACACAGAGGGACAUUGGGUGUCAUGGGGUGACGCUGAGGUACAUUGGGUGACAAUGAAGGGACAGUGGGUGACAACAAAGGGGACAAUGGGUGACAGUGGGUGACACUGGGGGACAUUGGGUGACAAUGGGGAGGACAACGGGGGACAAGAGGGGACAAUGGGUGACAACGGGGGACAACAAGGGACACUGAAGGGACACUGGGUGACAACGAGUGACAACAGGUGACGCUAAGGGGACAAUGGGUGACACUGGGUGACACUGAAGGGACAAUGGGGGGACACUGAGGGGACAAUGGGUGACAGUGGGUGACUGGGUGACAGUGGGGGGACAAUGGGUGACACUGAGAGGACGUUGGGUGACAGCGGUUGACAAUGGGUGACAAUACAGGGACAAUGGGGGACAAUAAGGGGACAAUAGGUGACAAUGGGUGACACGGACGGACAUUGGGUGACAAUGGGGAGGACAAUGAGGAACAAAAGGGGACAAUGGGUGACAACGGGGGACACUAAGGGGACAAUGGGUGACACUGGGUGACACUGAAGGGACAAUGGGUGACAGUGGGUGACACGGACG
rnacentral:lncRNA from 1 species